rnacentral:rRNA from 1 species
UACGGGGGGGGCAAGCGUUGUUCGGAAUUACUGGGCGUAAAGGGUUCGUAGGUGGCCAACUAAGUCAGACGUGAAAUCCCUCAGCUUAACUGGGGAACUGCGUCUGAUACUGGUUGGCUUGAGUGCAGGAGAGGAACGCGGAAUUCCAGGUGUAGCGGUGAAAUGCGUAGAUAUCUGGAGGAACACCGGCGGCGAAGGCGGCGUUCUGGACUGCAACUGACACUGAGGAACGAAAGCCAGGGUAGCAAACGGG